AACAAGGUUUCCGUAGGUGAACCUGCGGAAGGAUCAUUAUUGAAUAACUUGAUGGGUUGUUGCUGGCCUCUUGAGGCAUGUGCACGCCUGUCUUGACUCUAUUCAUCCACCUGUGCACUUAUUGUAGUUUCUUAUUCUCUGGAUUUGAAGACUGCCUUUUUCAGGCUUUCUUCUGGCUGGCCUUGUGCUUUAUCAGAGACUGAGGGGCUAUGUUUCUUAUCAUAAACCAAGUAGUAUGUCUCCAGAAUGUAUUUAAUGGGCCAUUGUGCCUAUAUAAAUGUAUACAACUUUCAGCAACGGAUCUCUUGGCUCUCGCAUCGAUGAAGAACGCAGCGAAAUGCGAUAAGUAAUGUGAAUUGCAGAAUUCAGUGAAUCAUCGAAUCUUUGAACGCACCUUGCGCUCCUUGGUAUUCCGAGGAGCAUGCCUGUUUGAGUGUCAGUAAAUUCUCAAACUCAUCAGCUUUUGUUGUUGGGUUUUGGAUGUGGAGGCUUUGCCGGCCUGUAUAGGUCAGCUCCUCUGAAAUACAUUAGCGGAACCGUUUGCGAUCCGUCACAGGUGUGAUAAUUAUCUACGCCAGUGGGUUGCUCUCUGUCUUGUUCAGUUGCAAACUGUCCAUAAAGGACAAAACUACUACUGAAUAUUUGACCUCAAAUCAGGUAGGACUACCCGCUGAACUUAAGCAUAUCAAUAAGCGGAGGAAAAGAAACUAACAAGGAUCUCCCCUAGUAACUGCGAGUGAAGCGGGAAAA
rnacentral:rRNA from 1 species